CAGUCGCCGCGGUAAUACGUAGGUGGCAAGCGUUGUCCGGAAUUAUUGGGCGUAAAGCGCGCGCAGGCGGUUUCUUAAGUCUGAUGUGAAAGCCCCCGGCUUAACUGGGGAGGGUCAUUGGAAACUGGGAGACUUAGAGUGCAGAAGAGGAGAGUGGAAUUCCAUGUGUAGCGGUGAAAUGCGUAGAUAUAUGGAGGAACACCAGUGGCGAAGGCGACUCUCUGGUCUGUAACUGACGCUGAGGCGCGAAAGCGUGGGGAGCAAACAGGAUUAGAUACCCGCGUAGUCCCUGUCUCUUAUA
rnacentral:rRNA from 1 species